rnacentral:lncRNA from 1 species
GGGGAGGGAUGAAGGCGAUUCUGUACCUUCAGCAACCAUGGUUUCUAAGUGAACGUGCAUGCCUCUCAUUGCAUCUGGGGAUGGCGGUAAUUGAACUUGAGGUUGUGAUGAACAUCCGGUAGAGACAUCACCUAACUCACAUUCAGCAGUUUCAACUUGAUCUUUAUCCUCAACUGUAAGAGACAAUGAGGGCUCGACAUCAGCUAAUGGGCCCUCAGCAUUUUCUUCCUCUGUCAUUGGGAGAGAUGAAGGGAAUUCUGAACCUUCAGCAACCACGGUUUCAGAGUUCUUUGCUGCCUCUAAGUGAACGUGCAUACCUUCCUCUGGCUCUGCAGAUGACGAUAAUUGAAGUUGAGGUUCUGUUGAACAUCCAGCAGAGACGUCAACUAAAUCACAUCCAGCAGUUUCAAUUUGAACUGGAUCCUCAAUAUUCUUUUGCACAGCCAUAGGAGACAAUGAGGGAAGGAUAUCAGCUAAUUGGCUCUCGGUAACUACGGUUUCAGAUUUCUUUGUUUCCUCUAAGUGAACGUGCGUACCUUCCACUGGCUCUGCGGACGGCGGUAAUUGAACUUGAGGUUCUGACGAACAUCCGGUAGAAAUACCUACUAACCCACAUGCAGCAGUUUCAACUAGACCUUGAUCCUCAAUGUUCUUUUGCACAGCUGUCAGACACGAUG